CCGUCCCUAAAAUCCUCUUCCCCUCGCCUUGGUCUCCUUUUUUUCCCCCCACCCUGGCUGAAACCAGAGCUCUUCAUCCCUGUUCCUUGGCCUUCAGGCCCGUGUGACUUCGGCUACAAGUCCUUACUCUGCAGACCCAGUCAGAGAGAAGCUGCACCCGCCCGUCAGGGACGUGGCUUGGUAUGAGGAAAGACAGCCUGGCAUUUGUGGUGAUGCUUAAGGCCUUUGGAUCGUGAUGCACCAAAUCUAAAAAUGGCAAGACUGGAAAGAACCCAGAGAUGACAAAAGCGCCUUAGAUAUGGUGGAGGGAGUGCUUUCACUGGCAUUAUUUUAAAUCAUCCUCACAAAACCCUGUAAGCCUCCUCUGAAGGGAGCCCUAGUAGUUCUCAGUGGAGCCAGGAUUCCACCCAAAAGGAGCUGUUAUCUUCUGUCAGUUAGAUUGGACUGGAUGAUGCUCACCUUCAUUGGCGAGGGUGGAUCUCUUCACUCAGUUUACUGAAUCAAAUGCUGGUCUCUCCCCAAAGGCCCCUCACAGAUACAGUGAGAAAUAAUGUUUUACCUGCUCUCUGGGUAUCCUUUAGCCUAGUCAAGUUGGCUUAUAAAAUUAACCAUCGCAGAAGACUUAAAGUCAUGUGACAGAGCUCAA